UCAACGCCAAUGACCGGAAAAGUAAUGAUGCGCACUCCUGAAAAGAGAGGAUGGGACCCCGGCUGAAAUCCCGUCUGCAGGAACGCAUCAUGAAAAACACCCGAGAGGCUUUUCUUCGAAACGGGAAACCGCGUAGGAGAAGACGGAGCCGGCCGUUAUCCGGACCGAGUGGGCACCGGCUUUUGGUGCCAAUCAGGGUGGAACCGCGGUGGCCAGGAGGCCCUCGUCCCUUGC
rnacentral:ncRNA from 1 species